CCGGCGAUGUCCGAAUGGGGAAACCCAGUGCAAUUCGUUGCACUAUCGUUAACUGAAUACAUAGGUUAACGAGGCGAACCGGGGGAACUGAAACAUCUAAGUACCCCGAGGAAAAGAAAUCAACCGAGAUUCCCCCAGUAGCGGCGAGCGAACGGGGAGCAGCCCAGAGUCUGAAUCAGCUUGUGUGUUAGUGGAACGGUCUGGAAAGUCCGACGGUACAGGGUGAUAGUCCCGUACACCAAAAUGCACAGGCUGUGAACUCGAAGAGUAGGGCGGGACACGUGGUAUCCUGUCUGAAUAUGGGGGGACCAUCCUCCAAGGCUAAAUACUCCUGACUGACCGAUAGUGAACCAGUACCGUGAGGGAAAGGCGAAAAGAACCCCGGCGAGGGGAGUGAAAAAGAACCUGAAACCGUGUACGUACAAGCAGUGGGAGCACCUUCGGGUGUGACUGCGUACCUUUUGUAUAAUGGGUCAGCGACUUAUAUUCUGUAGCAAGGUUAACCGUAUAGGGGAGCCGCAGGGAAACCGAGUCUUAACUGGGCGUUAAGUUGCAGGGUAUAGACCCGAAACCCGGUGAUCUAGCCAUGGGCAGGUUGAAGGUUGGGUAACACUAACUGGAGGACCGAACCGACUAAUGUUGAAAAAUUAGCGGAUGACUUGUGGCUGGGGGUGAAAGGCCAAUCAAACCGGGAGAUAGCUGGUUCUCCCCGAAAGCUAUUUAGGUAGCGCCUCGUGAAUUCAUCUUCGGGGGUAGAGCACUGUUUCGGCUAGGGGGUCAUCCCGACUUACCAACCCGAUGCAAACUACGAAUACCGAAGAAUGUUAUCACGGGAGACACACGGCGGGUGCUAACGUCCGUCGUGAAGAGGGAAACAACCCAGACCGCCAGCUAAGGUCCCAAAGUCAUGGUUAAGUGGGAAACGAUGUGGGAAGGCACAGACAGCCAGGAUGUUGGCUUAGAAGCAGCCAUCAUUUAAAGAAAGCGUAAUAGCUCACUGGUCGAGUCGGCCUGCGCGGAAGAUGUAACGGGGCUAAACCAUGCACCGAAGCUGCGGCAGCGACACUAUGUGUUGUUGGGUAGGGGAGCGUUCUGUAAGCCUGCGAAGGUGACCUGUGAGGGUUGCUGGAGGUAUCAGAAGUGCGAAUGCUGACAUAAGUAACGAUAAAGCGGGUGAAAAGCCCGCUCGCCGGAAGACCAAGGGUUCCUGUCCAACGUUAAUCGGGGCAGGGUGAGUCGACCCCUAAGGCGAGGCCGAAAGGCGUAGUCGAUGGGAAACAGGUUAAUAUUCCUGUACUUGGUGUUACUGCGAAGGGGGGACGGAGAAGGCUAUGUUAGCCGGGCGACGGUUGUCCCGGUUUAAGCAUGUAGGCUGGUUGUCCAGGCAAAUCCGGAUAAUCAAGGCUGAGGUGUGAUGACGAGGCACUACGGUGCUGAAGUAACAAAUGCCCUGCUUCCAGGAAAAGCCUCUAAGCAUCAGGUAACAUCAAAUCGUACCCCAAACCGACACAGGUGGUCAGGUAGAGAAUACCAAGGCGCUUGAGAGAACUCGGGUGAAGGAACUAGGCAAAAUGGUGCCGUAACUUCGGGAGAAGGCACGCUGGUGUGUAGGUGAAGUCCCUGCGGAUGGAGCUGAGACCAGUCGAAGAUACCAGCUGGCUGCAACUGUUUAUUAAAAACACAGCACUGUGCAAACACGAAAGUGGACGUAUACGGUGUGACGCCUGCCCGGUGCCGGAAGGUUAAUUGAUGGGGUUAUCCGUAAGGAGAAGCUCUUGAUCGAAGCCCCGGUAAACGGCGGCCGUAACUAUAACGGUCCUAAGGUAGCGAAAUUCCUUGUCGGGUAAGUUCCGACCUGCACGAAUGGCGUAAUGAUGGCCAGGCUGUCUCCACCCGAGACUCAGUGAAAUUGAACUCGCUGUGAAGAUGCAGUGUACCCGCGGCAAGACGGAAAGACCCCGUGAACCUUUACUAUAGCUUGACACUGAACAUUGAGCCUUGAUGUGUAGGAUAGGUGGGAGGCUUUGAAGCGUGGACGCCAGUCUGCGUGGAGCCAACCUUGAAAUACCACCCUUUAAUGUUUGAUGUUCUAACGUUGGCCCCUGACCGGGGUUGCGGACAGUGUCUGGUGGGUAGUUUGACUGGGGCGGUCUCCUCCCAAAGCGUAACGGAGGAGCACGAAGGUUAGCUAAUCCUGGUCGGACAUCAGGAGGUUAGUGCAAUGGCAUAAGCUAGCUUGACUGCGAGCGUGACGGCGCGAGCAGGUGCGAAAGCAGGUCAUAGUGAUCCGGUGGUUCUGAAUGGAAGGGCCAUCGCUCAACGGAUAAAAGGUACUCCGGGGAUAACAGGCUGAUACCGCCCAAGAGUUCAUAUCGACGGCGGUGUUUGGCACCUCGAUGUCGGCUCAUCACAUCCUGGGGCUGAAGUAGGUCCCAAGGGUAUGGCUGUUCGCCAUUUAAAGUGGUACGCGAGCUGGGUUUAGAACGUCGUGAGACAGUUCGGUCCCUAUCUGCCGUGGGCGCUGGAGAAUUGAGGGGGGCUGCUCCUAGUACGAGAGGACCGGAGUGGACGCAUCACUGGUGUUCGGGUUGUCAUGCCAAUGGCACUGCCCGGUAGCUAAAUGCGGAAGAGAUAAGUGCUGAAAGCAUCUAAGCACGAAACUUGCCCCGAGAUGAGUUCUCCCUGAGACUUUAAGUCUCCUGAAGGAACGUUAAAGACGAUGACGUUGAUAGGCCGGGUGUGUAAGCGCAGCGAUGCGUUGAGCUAACCGGUACUAAUGAACCGUGAGGCUUAACCUUACAACGCCGAAG
rnacentral:rRNA from 1 species